rnacentral:rRNA from 1 species
GGGCCCGCACAAGCGGUGGAGUAUGUGGUUUAAUUCGAUGCAACGCGAAGAACCUUACCAGGGUUUGACAUCCUGCGAAUCUCUUGGAAACGAGAGAGUGCCUUCGGGAACGCAGUGACAGGUGGUGCAUGGCUGUCGUCAGCUCGUGUCGUGAGAUGUUGGGUUAAGUCCCGCAACGAGCGCAACCCACGUCUUUAGUUGCCAGCAUUUAGUUGGGCACUCUAGAGAGACUGCCGGUGAUAAACCGGAGGAAGGUGUGGAUGACGUCAAGUCAUCAUGCCCCUUACAUCCUGGGCUACACACGUACUACAAUGCUACGGACAAAGGGUUAAUCCCAAAAACUGUCUCAGUUCGGAUUGGGGUCUGCAACUCGACCCAUGAAGUCGGAAUCGCUAGUAAUCG